UCCUGUGCAAAUGUUGGUUUGCAAUAAUGUCUAGAUNUACUGCGGACACCAGAGGAACUGCGUUCAAGUCCAAUUAGGGGUGAAAGUAAUGUACCUACGUUUGGAUAAAGAAAAGCAAGCAAACCUUUGGAAGUAGGUAAUUCUUUAUAACUCGCGGUAGUUAGAAUAUAUGAAUGAACAUCCAACUGUUAUAAGUGCUCAAGAUUGAAAAGCAGUGAAGGUUAGGUUACAUAAAAGGAAAAUGAGAAGACCGUCUACACUAAAGACUCCACUCCAACAUAGGACGUAAACGCUGUUUGAGGUAGACGAGCUCCAACAAUAAGAAACGCAAUAAAUAAAUAUAUGUGCAUAAUGCGUCAUGGAGUUGUACAGGUCGUUUUAGGAGAAUUGUUGACGUAAGCCUACUGCGAGAGUAAGCGACCGAACAUGGACUGAAAAUAGUAAACUAGAAUUCUACCUGCGGAAGGGAAUGUGCCUCCACUUUUAAUUGGGAUGAAGUAACUAUAACAGAGUAAUGGAGAGCGUAAUGUACUGGGAAAUACCGCUGGGGUACAAUUUUGUAUGUUUUCGCAAGUCUAUUUGCAGGUGUACUAUUACCUGGGUGGGAUAUUCCAGUUAGACCAAGACGUGAUUCCGCUAGAAGGAAUAGGGAUAAAUAUUUCUACGCCUUCCAGCUGUAGCUAAUGCAUGAGAGUAUAAUGGUACUUUAAAUGCUGUUUGGGUGCCUGACCGGUUGCUANUCCAGCUGUAGCUAAUGCAUGAGAGUAUAAUGGUACUUUAAAUGCUGUUUGGGUGCCUGACCGGUUGCUAUGUCCACUCUAGUGUCAGUAGAAAAUAUGUACUGUCACAGGAGGUGGGAGGGGCUGUACAAAAGAUUGUGCAAUGCACAUUGUUGUCCAUGCUGAAUGGAUUCGUUUUGGGUAACAUUCGCGAAGGUCGCGAGGUAUUUCGGCGUUCAUGUCCAUGUUGAAUCUAUUCAUGUUGGAUGGGCAUUAAAAGCUGGGUUUGCGAGCCAGCUGGGAGUCGCUGUUUCGCGAGAAAAGGAGUCGAAAGGUUGAUGCGAGGGAGCAUCACGCCUGACGGCACGCGCUAGGCUAGGACCAACCGUAUUCACGCAUGCUAAAGUUCUCAUCAUGCUACCGAGUAUGUUGGUGUUAGUGUCUUAUUAGCCCAUUAGUGUGUUCUACAGCUUACGAUGUGUGUGCGUGAGAGCGAGCUCCUCCUGUCGCUCGCUUCGCGCCAUUGUCUGGUAUGUGAAACACCCAGAUGCGGUGGCUCUAACGGAUGCAGUCAGUGCUAAUUUCGCGCUGGAUGGCCCGCUCUGUACGACCAUUGAUCCCAUGGUCGUGCCUAGGCACUCGUCUGUUAUCAUUUCCAGUACACCCAAGGGAGUAUAAUAGUGUCUGCACUGUCACCCGUCACCGACGGGCAUUAUAAUGUGUUUUGAGUCUUUGGUGCUUUUCUUCUUUGUGGAAACGAGCCGAUCCUAACGAGUUCUUCUUAUGAUCUUCAAAGGCAAUAGUUACAUCAGCUACUGCUAUCUGCUUGCGUUUUUCGUCUCGUAGGAUGGUGUCUGGUGUCAAUAAGGUCUUCACGUCCUUCGGAGUGCAUUUUUUAGCCAUCCCAUGACAGCGUACUUGUACGGGUUGGCUUCUAAACCUGUCAAUGGAAGGACUGCCUUCACCACCUGAUGAAGGCGGCUGAUCUCCUCACAGGCGUUGCAACAGUCUUCAACUCAUCUGCGUACGCUUAAGGUAGCCAAAUGCCUCGUCAGCUAAUUAGUGACGUCCAUGAGUGGACUAACGCGAUUCCUAUUGUCCCUAUCUACUAUCGCGUGACCCCACAGUCAAGGGAACGGGAUUGGCGGAAUCAGCGGGGAAAGAAGGCCCUGUUGAGCUUGACUCUAGUCCGACUUUGUGGAGCAACUUGGGGGGUGUAGCAUAGGUGAGAGCUUCGGCGAUCGUGAAAUACCAAUACCCUCAGUUUCGUUUAUUCCGCACAUACCGUGCAUGCAUUUCAACUUGACUGAUUCCGUCAAGUUGAGACGCAUGCACGGUAUGUGGUUUUGUCAUAAGGUGCCUCUCGGAUUGCUGAUCAAUGCGGAAGACAGAGUCAGGUGGGAAGUUUGACUGGGGCGGCACAUCUGGAAAAUAAUAGCAUAGGUGUAGUAAGACAAGCUCAAUGAGAACAAAAAUAACUUAAUGACCAAAACGGGAAACGUUUGCUGGUUUUGAUUUCCAGUACGAACCCAAACUGUGAAAGUAUGACCUGUAGAUCCUUUACGUCUGAGUAACCUUCAGCUAGAGGUGUCAGAAACGUCGCCUCAGGCAUAACUGGCUUGCGGCAGCCAAGCUUUCAUAGCGACGUUGGUUUUUGAUCCUUCAAUGUCUGCUCUUCGUAUCACUGCGACGGAGAAGUCUCAAAGUGUCGGAUUGUUUACCCGCCUAUAGGGAACCUGAGCUGGGUUUAGACCGUCGUGAGACAGGUUAGUUUUAUCCUACUGAUAAAUGUGAUACUGCGAUAGUAGUCAAACUGAGUACGAGACGAACAGGUGGGUCAUAUACUUGGUUAAUGCGGAUAGCUGAAAUGCUAGUGCUGCGACGCUACGAUAUGUUGGAUUUUGACUGGACACCUCUAAGCCAGAAUCCAUGCUGGCUAAGCAGUGUUUCUCGUUGCCUCACUUGUUACUCGCAUGUCUUUUUAGUGCCUCGACCAUAAUAUCUUGUUACGGCCCUUCGCGUUACGCGCCGGGCGACAAUAGCAAUUGCCCACGAUUGGGGCGGUACAGCCACUGCAUACGGCUUUGGCGCAACCAGG
rnacentral:rRNA from 1 species